GGGUUGUGAGGUUAAGCGACUAAGCGUACACGGUGGAUGCCCUGGCAGUCAGAGGCGAUGAAGGGCGUGCUAAUCUGCGAUAAGCGCCGGUAAGGUGAUAUGAACCGUUAUAACCGGCGAUACCCGAAUGGGGAAACCCAGUGUGACUCGUCACACUAUCAUUAACUGAAUCCAUAGGUUAAUGAGGCGAACCGGGGGAACUGAAACAUCUAAGUACCCCGAGGAAAAGAAAUCAACCGAGAUUCCCCCAGUAGCGGCGAGCGAACGGGGAGGAGCCCAGAGCCUGAAUCAGCAUGUGUGUUAGUGGAAGCGUCUGGAAAGGCGCGCGAUACAGGGUGACAGCCCCGUACACAAAAGCGCAUGUG
rnacentral:rRNA from 5 species